GGCGGGACACGUGGUAUCCUGUCUGAAUAUGGGGGGACCAUCCUCCAAGGCUAAAUACUCCUGACUGACCGAUAGUGAACCAGUACCGUGAGGGAAAGGCGAAAAGAACCCCGGCGAGGGGAGUGAAAAAGAACCUGAAACCGUGUACGUACAAGCAGUGGGAGCCUCUUUAUGGGGUGACUGCGUACCUUUUGUAUAAUGGGUCAGCGACUUAUAUUCUGUAGCAAGGUUAACCGUAUAGGGGAGCCGAAGGGAAACCGAGUCUUAACUGGGCGUUAAGUUGCAGGGUAUAGACCCGAAACCCGGUGAUCUAGCCAUGGGCAGGUUGAAGGUUGGGUAACACUAACUGGAGGACCGAACCGACUAAUGUUGAAAAAUUAGCGGAUGACCUGUGGCUGGGGGUGAAAGGCCAAUCAAACCGGGAGAUAGCUGGUUCUCCCCGAAAGCUAUUUAGGUAGCGCCUCGUGAACUCAUCUUCGGGGGUAGAGCACUGUUUCGGCUAGGGGGCCAUCCCGGCUUACCAACCCGAUGCAAACUACGAAUACCGAAGAAUGUUAUCACGGGAGACACACGGCGGGUGCUAACGUCCGUCGUGAAGAGGGAAACAACCCAGACCGCCAGCUAAGGUCCCAAAGUCAUGGUUAAGUGGGAAACGAUGUGGGAAGGCACAGACAGCCAGGAUGUUGGCUUAGAAGCAGCCAUCAUUUAAAGAAAGCGUAAUAGCUCACUGGUCGAGUCGGCCUGCGCGGAAGAUGUAACGGGGCUAAACCAUGCACCGAAGCUGCGGCAGCGACACUAUGUGUUGUUGGGUAGGGGAGCGUUCUGUAAGCCGUUGAAGGUGUGCUGUGAGGCAUGCUGGAGGUAUCAGAAGUGCGAAUGCUGACAUAAGUAACGAUAAAGCGGGUGAAAAGCCCGCUCGCCGGAAGACCAAGGGUUCCUGUCCAACGUUAAUCGGGGCAGGGUGAGUCGACCCCUAAGGCGAGGCCGAAAGGCGUAGUCGAUGGGAAACAGGUUAAUAUUCCUGUACUUGGUGUUACUGCGAAGGGGGGACGGAGAAGGCUAUGUCAGCCGGGCGACGGUUGUCCCGGUUUAAGCAUGUAGGCGGAGGU
rnacentral:rRNA from 2 species